GACGAACGCUGGCGGCGUGCUUAACACAUGCAAGUCGAACGGAAAGGCCCUGCUUGCAGGGUGCUCGAGUGGCGAACGGGUGAGUAACACGUGGGUGAUCUGCCCCUUAUUUUGGGAUAAGCCUGGGAAACUGGGUCUAAUACUGGAUAGGACCAUGCUGUAGGUGGUGUGGUGGAAAGAUUAGUUUCGGUAAGGGAUGAGCUCGCGGCCUAUCAGCUUGUUGGUGGGGUAAUGGCCUACCAAGGCGUCGACGGGUAGCCGGCCUGAGAGGGUGGACGGCCACAUUGGGACUGAGAUACGGCCCAGACUCCUACGGGAGGCAGCAGUGGGGAAUAUUGCACAAUGGGAGCAAGCCGGAUGCAGCGACGCCGCGUGGGGGAUGACGGCCUUCGGGUUGUAAACUCCUUUCAGCCAUGACGAAGCCCUUGUGGUGACGGUAGUGGUAGAAGAAGCACCGGCUAACUACGUG
rnacentral:rRNA from 1 species